rnacentral:pre_miRNA from 1 species
UGAGCACAUGUCACACAGUGAGUGUAUGUUGUGGUGAGCACAUGUCACACAGUGAGUGUAACACUCACUGUGUGACAUGUGCUCACGACAACAUACACUCACUGUGUGACAUGUGCU